rnacentral:rRNA from 1 species
GACGAACGCUGGCGGCGUGCUUAACACAUGCAAGUCGAACGGAAAGGCCCUGCUUUUGUUGCGUGCUCGAGUGGCGAACGGGUGAGAAACACGUGAGUAACCCGUCCUUGACUGAGGGAUAAAUUCAGGUAACUGGGGCUCAUAACGGAUAUGAGCUCCUGAUGCAUGGGGGGGGUUGGCAAGUUUCGGCUGUGGGGGAUGGACUCGCGGCUUACCAGCUGGUUGGUGGGGUGGUGGCUUACCACGGCUUUGAGGGGUAGCCGGCCUGGGAGGUUGACCGGCCACAUUGGUACUGGGAUACGCCCCAGACUCCUACGGGAGGCAGCAGGGGGAAGUAUUGCACAAUGGGGGGAGGCCUGUGGCGGCAACGCCCGGUGCGGAAGAACGGCUUUGGGGUGUAAAACCGCUUUCGCAGGUGCCGAAGUGGUAGUGACGGUAACGGGUAAAGAAGCACCGGCUAACUACGUG